UGAAAGGUUGUGGGAAAACAUCUGGUUGAUGACGCCAUCACGUCAAUGAGUACCUCUUCGUGCUGGAGCUACAAUGUUAUUUCAUCCGUACUAAUAGCAGUGCAGUACGAUAACAAACAAAAAAGUUCAGAUACAAUAUUAUUUAUAUCUAGCAUAUGUGCGCAUUGUAAUAGACCCAUAAAUAAUAUCUGUAAACGCUGUCACAAGCUGUUAAGACGCUGAUUACGAGGUACGUAUGGGCCAAAAGCACGCACUGCAACCAGUUUAACAGGAACAGCACCCAGGACCCAAUGCUGUUUACAGGCUCCAUGAGGAAGAACUUGGACCCUUUCAACCAUCACACUGAUGAAGACCUGUGGAAGGCUCUGGAGGAGGCUAGUAUCCAAUCAGCCUAGUAUCCAAUCAGCACACUCCAAAAAUGCGUGCAGAGUUUCCGGACCACAACGGAGAAGUUCCUUUUCAAUUUAUCAAUUCAGUUUUAAUUUCAAUUCAGAUUUUGAAAAUGACAGCACCACAGAGGGAUGGAACACUCAUCCUCCAGUCUUCAUGAGAGUUUAACCUUCACCUUAACUUGCUGAGCUCUGUCAAACGCUUGGAAAGGCUCUAGUUGUAAGAUGUAUUUAUUGUUCAAACUACAGGGGAGAGAAAUGAAAAACUGUCGAGACAAAAGUGGGAUUGAAUCCUUCAAUCUCAGAUUGUUGAGUCAGUAAUUUAUCUCAGUGAGCUAUUCCUAAUUAAUCAAUUAAGUAAUCAACAAAUAAUACAUUAAUCAACCAAUUAACAGCUCAAUUAGCAGAUCAAUCAAUCAACCAAUAAAUCAAUACAUUUUAUUUGUCACAUGAAAUCAAUUAGUCUACAAGAACAUAGUUUGAACAACAAAUAAUAGAAUGGAAACUUGAAAUGCCAGUUUCAAGAAUAGCUCACUGAGAUAAGCUAUUGACUCAACCAUCUGAGGUUGAAGGAUCAAAUC